rnacentral:rRNA from 1 species
CCCCGGGCGGGGCGGGGGCACGGGGGGAACGCGAAGAACCUUACCUACUCUUGACAUCCAGAGAACUUUCCAGAGAUGGAUUGGUGCCUUCGGGAACUCUGAGACAGGUGCUGCAUGGCUGUCGUCAGCUCGUGUUGUGAAAUGUUGGGUUAAGUCCCGCAACGAGCGCAACCCUUAUCCUUUGUUGCCAGCGCGUGAUGGCGGGAACUCAAAGGAGACUGCCGGUGAUAAACCGGAGGAAGGUGGGGAUGACGUCAAGUCAUCAUGGCCCUUACGAGUAGGGCUACACACGUGCUACAAUGGCGUAUACAAAGGGAAGCGACCCUGCGAAGGCAAGCGGAACUCAUAAAGUACGUCGUAGUCCGGAUUGGAGUCUGCAACUCGACUCCAUGAAGUCGGAAUCGCUAGUAAUCGUAGAUCAGAAUGCUACGGUGAAUACGUUCCCGGGCCUUGUACACACCG